rnacentral:tRNA from 1 species
UCCUUGGUAGCUCAGAUGGUAAAGUGUCUGCCUACAAUGCAGGAGACCCGGGUUCGAUCCCUGGGUCGGGAA